AGCUCUUCUUGGUGUAGGUGUCUGCUCCAUAUUUGCAUCAUAAAAGGAAUUUGGUCUUGAUCUUCCUCUACACCACAAAUAUUUGGGCCUCUGUUACUUUUGGCUUCCACGGGAGUCCCAUCCACUCCAGAGAGCAACUAAUAUGCAGUGUCUGGAACAGGACUGAAUUCCCAUGCAUGGGAGACGAUGAAAAAGGCUGGAGUCAGGAGAUAGAACGUCUUAUUUGAGGAGCAGCAUGAAAAUCAAUAUCACUGAAAAGAAUGAAAAUCCUGUCCAGAAGAUAGGAGAACAUUUGAAAGACCAGCAAAUGGGAUGGAGGCAGUUUCAAAGGAAGAUCAAUCCCUGGCCUCAAAAUUAUACCAACUAGUCUGCUUAUGGAAAAAGCCAGCCCUGAAUGAACCUAUUUAGAAUCCUUUUUUAACUAAUAAAAACUAAAUUACAUUCUCA